UGGCGGACGGGUGAGUAAUGCGUGAGAAUCUGCCUUCUGGUCGGGGACAACCACGGGAAACUGUGGCUAAUACCGGAUAGGCCGAAAGGUAAAAGAUUUAUUGCCAGAAGAGGAGCUCGCGCCUGAUUAGCUAGUUGGUGGGGUAAAAGCUUACCAAGGCAGCGAUCAGUAGCUGGUCUGAGAGGAUGAUCAGCCACACUGGGACUGAGACACGGCCCAGACUCCUACGGGAGGCAGCAGUGGGGAAUUUUCCGCAAUGGGCGAAAGCCUGACGGAGCAAUACCGCGUGAGGGAGGAAGGCUCUUGGGUCGUAAACCUCUUUUGUCAGGGAAGAAGCUCUGACGGUACCUGACGAAUAAGCAUCGGCUAACUCCGUGCCAGCAGCCGCGGUAAU
rnacentral:rRNA from 1 species